rnacentral:rRNA from 1 species
UACGUAGGUGGCGAGCGUUGUCCGGAUUUAUUGGGCGUAAAGCGCGCGCAGGUGGUGCGGUAAGUCUGUCGUGAAAUCUCCCGGCUCAACUGGGAGGGUGCGGUGGAGACUGCCGGACUGGAGGCACUCAGAGGCCGGUGGAAUUCCCGGUGUAGUGGUGAAAUGCGUAGAGAUCGGGAGGAACACCUGUGGCGAAGGCGGCCCCCUGGUUGGAUACUGACGCUGAUACGCGAAAGCGUGGGGAGCAAACAGG